rnacentral:rRNA from 1 species
GGGUUGUGAGGUUAAGCGACUAAGCGUACACGGUGGAUGCCCUGGCAGUCAGAGGCGAUGAAGGACGUGCUAAUCUGCGAUAAGCGUCGGUGAGGUGAUAUGAACCGUUAUAACCGGCGAUUUCCGAAUGGGGAAACCCAGUGUGUUUCGACACACUAUCAUUAACUGAAUCCAUAGGUUAAUGAGGCGAACCGGGGGAACUGAAACAUCUAAGUACCCCGAGGAAAAGAAAUCAACCGAGAUUCCCCCAGUAGCGGCGAGCGAACGGGGAGCAGCCCAGAGCCUGAAUCAGUGUGUGUGUUAGUGGAAGCGUCUGGAAAGGCGCGCGAUACAGGGUGACAGCCCCGUACACAAAAAUGCACAUACUGUGAGCUCGAUGAGUAGGGCGGGACACGUGGUAUCCUGUCUGAAUAUGGGGGGACCAUCCUCCAAGGCUAAAUACUCCUGACUGACCGAUAGUGAACCAGUACCGUGAGGGAAAGGCGAAAAGAACCCCGGCGAGGGGAGUGAAAAAGAACCUGAAACCGUGUACGUACAAGCAGUGGGAGCCUCUUAAUGGGGUGACUGCGUACCUUUUGUAUAAUGGGUCAGCGACUUAUAUUCUGUAGCAAGGUUAACCGAAUAGGGGAGCCGAAGGGAAACCGAGUCUUAACUGGGCGUUAAGUUGCAGGGUAUAGACCCGAAACCCGGUGAUCUAGCCAUGGGCAGGUUGAAGGUUGGGUAACACUAACUGGAGGACCGAACCGACUAAUGUUGAAAAAUUAGCGGAUGACUUGUGGCUGGGGGUGAAAGGCCAAUCAAACCGGGAGAUAGCUGGUUCUCCCCGAAAGCUAUUUAGGUAGCGCCUCGUGAAUUCAUCUCCGGGGGUAGAGCACUGUUUCGGCAAGGGGGUCAUCCCGACUUACCAACCCGAUGCAAACUGCGAAUACCGGAGAAUGUUAUCACGGGAGACACACGGCGGGUGCUAACGUCCGUCGUGAAGAGGGAAACAACCCAGACCGCCAGCUAAGGUCCCAAAGUCAUGGUUAAGUGGGAAACGAUGUGGGAAGGCCCAGACAGCCAGGAUGUUGGCUUAGAAGCAGCCAUCAUUUAAAGAAAGCGUAAUAGCUCACUGGUCGAGUCGGCCUGCGCGGAAGAUGUAACGGGGCUAAACCAUGCACCGAAGCUGCGGCAGCGACACUAUGUGUUGUUGGGUAGGGGAGCGUUCUGUAAGCCUGUGAAGGUGUACUGUGAGGUAUGCUGGAGGUAUCAGAAGUGCGAAUGCUGACAUAAGUAACGAUAAAGCGGGUGAAAAGCCCGCUCGCCGGAAGACCAAGGGUUCCUGUCCAACGUUAAUCGGGGCAGGGUGAGUCGACCCCUAAGGCGAGGCCGAAAGGCGUAGUCGAUGGGAAACAGGUUAAUAUUCCUGUACUUGGUGUUACUGCGAAGGGGGGACGGAGAAGGCUAUGUUGGCCGGGCGACGGUUGUCCCGGUUUAAGCGUGUAGGCUGGUUUUCCAGGCAAAUCCGGAAAAUCAAGGCUGAGGCGUGAUGACGAGGCACUACGGUGCUGAAGCAACAAAUGCCCUGCUUCCAGGAAAAGCCUCUAAGCAUCAGGUAACAUCAAAUCGUACCCCAAACCGACACAGGUGGUCAGGUAGAGAAUACCAAGGCGCUUGAGAGAACUCGGGUGAAGGAACUAGGCAAAAUGGUGCCGUAACUUCGGGAGAAGGCACGCUGAUAUGUAGGUGAAGCGACUUGCUCGUGGAGCUGAAAUCAGUCGAAGAUACCAGCUGGCUGCAACUGUUUAUUAAAAACACAGCACUGUGCAAACACGAAAGUGGACGUAUACGGUGUGACGCCUGCCCGGUGCCGGAAGGUUAAUUGAUGGGGUUAGCGGUAACGCGAAGCUCUUGAUCGAAGCCCCGGUAAACGGCGGCCGUAACUAUAACGGUCCUAAGGUAGCGAAAUUCCUUGUCGGGUAAGUUCCGACCUGCACGAAUGGCGUAAUGAUGGCCAGGCUGUCUCCACCCGAGACUCAGUGAAAUUGAACUCGCUGUGAAGAUGCAGUGUACCCGCGGCAAGACGGAAAGACCCCGUGAACCUUUACUAUAGCUUGACACUGAACAUUGAGCCUUGAUGUGUAGGAUAGGUGGGAGGCUUUGAAGUGUGGACGCCAGUCUGCAUGGAGCCGGCCUUGAAAUACCACCCUUUAAUGUUUGAUGUUCUAACGUUGGCCCCUGAUCGGGGUUGCGGACAGUGUCUGGUGGGUAGUUUGACUGGGGCGGUCUCCUCCUAAAGAGUAACGGAGGAGCACGAAGGUUGGCUAAUCCUGGUCGGACAUCAGGAGGUUAGUGCAAUGGCAUAAGCCAGCUUGACUGCGAGCGUGACGGCGCGAGCAGGUGCGAAAGCAGGUCAUAGUGAUCCGGUGGUUCUGAAUGGAAGGGCCAUCGCUCAACGGAUAAAAGGUACUCCGGGGAUAACAGGCUGAUACCGCCCAAGAGUUCAUAUCGACGGCGGUGUUUGGCACCUCGAUGUCGGCUCAUCACAUCCUGGGGCUGAAGUAGGUCCCAAGGGUAUGGCUGUUCGCCAUUUAAAGUGGUACGCGAGCUGGGUUUAGAACGUCGUGAGACAGUUCGGUCCCUAUCUGCCGUGGGCGCUGGAGAACUGAGGGGGGCUGCUCCUAGUACGAGAGGACCGGAGUGGACGCAUCACUGGUGUUCGGGUUGUCAUGCCAAUGGCACUGCCCGGUAGCUAAAUGCGGAAGAGAUAAGUGCUGAAAGCAUCUAAGCACGAAACUUGCCCCGAGAUGAGUUCUCCCUGACUCCUUGAGGGUCCUGAAGGAACGUUGAAGACGACGACGUUGAUAGGCCGGGUGUGUAAGCGCAGCGAUGCGUUGAGCUAACCGGUACUAAUGAACCGUGAGGCUUAACCUUACAACGCCGAAGGUGUUU